GGUUCUUAACGCCUUCCCCUACCCUUGGCUGACCUCCACACUCCCCCUUGCUGCCGGCUAGCUCCCUCAUGUUUUAGGUCAAGUUUGAUUUAACCUCUUCAAAGAACAUGUUGAAAUGACAAAAAAGAUUUGUGGCAAUGCAAAUGUCCGUUACGCAUGGCUUGCUUCCUCCAAGGAUGCGGUGGAUGAGAUGAUGUCUCAUGGGGUUCUGAAGCAACCUGUGCAUAAAUGACUUUAUGGAAAUGGACUUCAUCUUGCCCUUACAAAUUGCUAUGAUAUCUGCAUUGCGUAAGCUUUGUGAAGAUGCUUCGGCAGUUAUGCAGGAUCUAUAAAAUCUUGAAGUUUUGAUCUGGAUAGGCGAGAUACACAGUGGUAGGUGUUUUGUCCCAGUCUCAAGCCGUCAAUCCAUUUUGAUCAAUAUAUCUAGUAGAAGUAAGCAUGCAGAUCGUUGUCUUCGAGGCCGGCUAGCUGUUUUGUGUUUUUUUUUUGUUUUAAAUUUGAAUGUCACUAACUACUUUGAAACAGAAAUAUUUAGUCUUUGUGUAUAGUUGAAUUCUCCUGUAAAUACUAAUACUUUGUAGUUGAAUUCUA